GUGAGGAAUUUUCCGCAAUGGGCGAAAGCCUGACGGAGCAAUGCCGCGUGAAGGAUGAAGGCCUAUGGGUUGUAAACUUCUUUUCUCAGAAAAGAAUUAUGACGGUAUCUGAGGAAUAAGCAUCGGCUAACUCUGUGCCAGCAGCCGCGGUAAGACAGAGGAUGCAAGCGUUAUCCGGAAUGAUUGGGCGUAAAGCGUCUGUAGGUUGUUUAAAAAGUAUUCUGUCAAAGAUUAGGGCUUAACCCUAGAUAGGCAGAAUAAACUUUUAAGCUAGAGUUUGGUAGAGGCAGAGGGAAUUCCCGGUGGAGCGGUGAAAUGCGUAGAGAUCGGGAGGAACACCAAAGGCGAAGGCACUCUGCUGGGCCAAUACUAACACUGAGAGACGAAAGCGAGGGGAGCAAAUGGGAUUAGAAACCCGAGUAGUCC
rnacentral:rRNA from 1 species